AUGAAGAGUGGGCAUAAUGAAGGGGCCGGGGACAAGAUUCCAUGGGGAGUGAUGGGUAAUGUCCUAUCUGUGUCCUCAGUGCUCACUGGAGAUACAGAAUUACCAUGGUCUAAACAUCAGAUGGGUCGAGAAGUCCUCAGAAUGAAAUACAGCAGUGCUUGGCUGUGCAGAUGUCCUCCUUGGUCUCAUCCGAGAUGUGGAAGUGGAUCCGCAUCAGGAGGUUCUCCUGAAGAAAACCAACACAGACAGUUUGGAUCUUUAUUAAUAAAUAUGAGUCGGUGUGUAUGUGUGAGUGCAUUGGCUUUCUCGUUCCUUUGAUCUGGCUCUGAUAAACAAUUCUGGAACAAGAUGUUUAGCUCCAGUGCAAUACAGCAUGCUGGCUUUUUCUGGAGCAUUUAAACAGUGAGGCAUCUUUGAUCGGUUGUUUGUGUAUGUGUGUCAGAGCGAAUGACUUGUGUGGUCCGGCUCUUAUAUUCAUUUUUCUCUGUCAGCACUCACUUCACGUUAAUCUGAUCAAGUGAGAACAACACAUCUAUUUUUCAUAAGAGUCCUUUUGAUUCCCUGGCUGAACAAAUUUAAAAUCAAUCGAUCACACUGCAAGUUCCUGACAAAGGAAUACAGGGUGAAUGAGGGAGUGGGAGAGAAAGUGAGAGAGGUGAAUAAGACCAUAUAUCAAAUCUCUAGUUCCCUUCUUUUCAUCUCGCUAACAGCCGCGGACCACAUUUGCAACACUCCUACAACUACCACUGCUGGAGAAACUACUUUAAAACCAAAGCUCCCCAAGCUACAUGCUACUCAGUUUUAAUCAAAACAGUUAAACUACAGUCGGGCUGCAAAUUUGAAAAAGUAGCUAGCUGCACUAUAAAAUUACUAAGGAACAGCAGCUUCAUUAAAUCUAAGGCAACAAAAUUGUUUUAUAUAUAACUAUUAAAUAAUAUAAGUUACUUCUGAA
ensembl:lncRNA